rnacentral:lncRNA from 1 species
GAAAGCAGCAUCCCAGAGAAAUCCGUGCUUCAGUUUUUAAGGCUAAAUAUCGUCAGACGUCUGCUUAGUCUUAUGUAAAAUUCAAGUACUGCUUUUUUCUGUGGUAUGAUAAACACCUCUAAGUGUGAAUUCCCAUGACUAAUACUGUACCAGACAAGCUUACUGCUUUAGCAGAGUAAUGGCCACUGAGAAGUGAAAACAAAUAUUCACUA